rnacentral:misc_RNA from 1 species
AAAGUCGUAACAAGGUUUCCGUAGGUGAACCUGCGGAAGGAUCAUUAACAAAUCAUCUCUUCUACAAUACCUGUGUGAACGUUUGCUUGUUUGCGCUGCUUGUCGUACCUGCUUUACUGCUUGUCGACGACGGCGCAACAACACCUCUACACGAUUGAUUGUCAGAUAUGAUGUCUCUGUGUACUUGUAUGCACGAGACAAUAAUCUUAACAGAUAACAACUUUUAACAAUGGAUCUCUUGGCUCUU